rnacentral:lncRNA from 1 species
UUUCCGGGCAGCGCCGUGGAGCGCAAGCGGACCGUGCCGAAUGGCGGGCAGCGGAGGCCCCGGGCGGCCGAGCCCGGCGUGGCCUUGGGCUCUUCCAGGUGUAACAAAACCUGUCUCAUUUGAAGGUGCUUGAACAAAUACUUUCCAAAAACUUGUCAUGGAGAGUGAGUGAAACAAGCUACCAGGACUACAUUUGCAAAGAACAAGCAUGUAGGUGGCUGUAGUGGAUGUCCAACAUUGGGAGCUGUGAUUUCUAAAAACCCUUCAUUGUUUUGUCUCACAUUUUGGAAGGUAAAAUGAAGACCAUGAACAAAGUCAAGAAACCACGAACAGAAGCAAAUGAUGAAAAUUAGUAUUUAAUUUGAUAUUAAUAAAAUAAGUUAUGUAGAAAUAGUUAAUCUU